UACGUAGGGGGCAAGCGUUGUCCGGAUUUAUUGGGCGUAAAGAGCGUGUAGGCGGCUUGGUAGGUCCGCUGUGAAAACUCGAGGCUCAACCUCGAGAUGUCGGCGGAAACCACUUGGCUAGAGUCCGGAAGAGGAGAGUGGAAUUCCUGGUGUAGCGGUGAAAUGCGCAGAUAUCAGGAGGAACACCGGUGGCGAAGGCGGAUCUCUGGGCCUUACCUGACGCUCAGGUGCGAAAGCUAGGGGAGCAAACAGG
rnacentral:rRNA from 1 species